UUGAACGCUGGCGGAAUGCUUUACACAUGCAAGUCGAGCGGCAGCGCGGGGGCAACCCUGGCGGCGAGCGGCGAACGGGUGAGUAACACAUCGGAACGUACCCAGUUGUGGGGGAUAGCCCGGCGAAAGCCGGAUUAAUACCGCAUACGACCUGAGGGUGAAAGGGGGGGAUCGCAAGACCUCUCGCAGUUGGAGCGGCCGAUGGCGGAUUAGCUAGUUGGUGGGGUAAAGGCCUACCAAGGCGACGAUCCGUAGCUGGUCUGAGAGGACGACCAGCCACACUGGAACUGAGACACGGUCCAGACUCCUACGGGAGGCAGCAGUGGGGAAUUUUGGACAAUGGGGGCAACCCUGAUCCAGCCAUUCCGCGUGAGUGAAGAAGGCCUUCGGGUUGUAAAGCUCUUUCAGCCGGAAAGAAAUUGCUUCUAUUAAUACUAGGAGUAGAUGACGGUACCGGAAGAAGAAGCACCGGCUAACUACGU
rnacentral:rRNA from 1 species